GACGAACGCUGGCGGCGUGCUUAAUACAUGCAAGUCGAACGGACAGGCCCUGCUUUUGUGGGGUGCUCGAGUGGCGCACGGGUGUGUAACACGUGAGUAACAUGCCCUUGUCUUUGGGAUAAAUUUAGGAGACUGGGGAUCAUACCGGAUAGGAGCUCUUGCUGCAUGUGGGGGGUUGGAAAGAUUCGGCGGUGGGGGCUUGAAUCGCGGGUUACCAGCUUGUUUGGCGGGUAGUUGAUUUCCAAGGCUUUGACGGGUAGCCGGCCUGGGAGGGUGGACGGGGACAAUGGGCCUAAGGUACGGCGCAGACUCCUACGGUAGGCAAUAGGGGGAAAUAUUACACAAUAGGCGGAAGCCAGAGGCGGCAACCCCGCGUGCGGGAAGACGUCCUUCGGGUUAUAAACCGCUUUCUCCUGUGACGAAGCGGGAUUGACGGUAAUUGAUAAAGAAGCACCGGCUAACUACGUG
rnacentral:rRNA from 1 species